UACGACGACAUCACGUUGAAACACCGGCUCCCGUGCAAUCACCGGAUUUAAGCAACGUCGAGCCUGUUCAGUACCUAGAUGGGUGACUGCUUGAAAAUAUCAGUUGCUGUAA